rnacentral:rRNA from 1 species
UCGUUCCUACGGGAGGCAGCAGUGGGGAAUAUUGGGCAAUGGGCGCAAGCCUGACCCAGCAACGCCGCGUGAAGGAAGAAGGCUUUCGGGUUGUAAACUUCUUUUAAGAGGGACGAAGGAAGUGACGGUACCUCUUGAAUAAGCCACGGCUAACUACGUGCCAGCAGCCGCGGUAAUACGUAGGUGGCAAGCGUUAUCCGGAUUUAUUGGGUGUAAAGGGCGUGUAGGCGGGAGCGCAAGUCAGAUGUGAAAACUCAGGGCUCAACCCUGAGCCUGCCUUUGAAAC